CGGUGUUUAACUGGCGUGAUGUGGGACGUCCUACCGGUGGGCUUAGCCUCGCGAGGGGCGGCCCAACUAAUAUCCCGUCGCGGUGCUCUUUACUGAGUGUCGAGUCGGGCCGGUACGUUUACUUUGAACAAAUUAGAGUGCUUAAAGCAGGCUAUCCUCGCCUGAAUACUGCGUGCAUGGAAUAAUGGAAUAGGACCUCGGUUCUAUUUUGUUGGUUUUCGGAACCCCGAGGUAAUGAUUAAUAGGGACAGAUGGGGGCAUUCGUAUUGCGACGUUAGAGGUGAAAUUCUUGGAUCGUCGCAAGACGGACAGAAGCGAAAGCAUUUGCCAAAAAUGUUUUCAUUAAUCAAGAACGAAAGUUAGAGGUUCGAAGGCGAUCAGAUACCGCCCUAGUUCUAACCAUAAACGAUGCCAGCUAGCGAUCCGCCGAAGUUCCUCCGAUGACUCGGCGGGCAGCUUCCGGGAAACCAAAGCUUUUGGGUUCCGGGGGAAGUAUGGUUGCAAAGCUGAAACUUAAAGGAAUUGACGGAAGGGCACCACCAGGAGUGGAGCCUGCGGCUUAAUUUGACUCAACAUGGGAAACCUCACCAGGCCCAGACACCGGAAGGAUUGACAGAUUGAUAGCUCUUUCUUGAUUCGGUGGGUGGUGGUGCAUGGCCGUUCUUAGUUGGUGGAGCGAUUUGUCUGGUUAAUUCCGAUAACGAACGAGACUCUAGCCUGCUAAAUAGGCGUACCUUAUGGUAUCGCGAAGGCCCCCGGCUUCGGCCGGUGGGUUUUUACUACCAACGUACAAACAAAUCUUCUUAGAGGGACAGGCGG
rnacentral:rRNA from 1 species